rnacentral:lncRNA from 1 species
CUAGAAGUCUAUCUUCAAUCUCUAACAAGAUUCCAGAGAUUUGAAGAAAGGAUCUAGGUCAACCAAGAAGAAGGUCUUCGCAUGAGCUAACACUCCCGAGAAGACCGAUCAGAUUGGGGCUUUGAGUGGAUUUUUCAUAGAGAUCGGAUGCAUGUGCAGCUAUGAGCAACAAGCAAAGAUCCUCUCCAUUAUAUCUCUCAACAGUGAAGAUCAUCGACUUGUGAUCAGGUAUGGAGUUCUAAACUCAGAUUAGAAGUAGAUGUGAUCUACUGCUUAUAUGCAUGCAUGCUGAUUUUAUCUUCAGAUUAUUUUAGAUUUCAUAUGCAACACAAUAUGUCAUAGAUCCUAGAGUAGAUUGA